AUGUAUGUUGAACAGGAUCUGUUCUAUAGGCUCGUACCGUUGCAUCCUUGACUAAUAAGGAGGCAAGCACUCAUGCUUGGUUGAUGACACGUGUGACCUUUGGGCCAGAGCGUGAUUAACGGCCCAGUUCAUGUCUGCUGACUUCGAUCCCACGGCUGUAGAGGAUCGCUCCCUGCCGGGCUUACCGCCUGGCCAGGAUGGCUCUCAGGUUGUCUGACAGGUU
rnacentral:snoRNA from 1 species